rnacentral:rRNA from 1 species
CCUACGGGAGGCAGCAGUCGGGAAUAUUUGACAAUGGGCGCAAGCCUGACCCUGCAACGCCGCGUGGAGGAAUAAGGCUUUCCGGUUUUAAACUUCUUGUCAUGGGGACGAGCAGAAGACGGUACCCCUUGAAUAAGCCACGGCUAACUACGUCCCAGCAGCCGCGCUCAGACGUAGGUGGCAAGCGUGGUCCGGAUUUACUGGGUGGAAAGGGCGUGCAGCCGGUGAGACAAGUCAGUUGUGAAAUCCACGGGCUCAACCCGUGAACUGCAGUUGAAACUGUGUCACUUGAGUGUCGGAGAGGUAACCGGAAUUCUCGGUGUAGCAGUGAAAUGCGUAGAUAUAAGGAAGAACACUCGUGGCGAAGGCGGAUUCCUGGACAAUAACUGACGGUGAGGCGCGAAGGCGAGGGGAGCAAAAGGGAUUAGAUACCCGGGUAGUC